AAAUGUGGUUUACAGUUGUUUCAGAAUAAUCUGAUCAUUUCAGUAGAACUCUUCCUUCCUCCUUCUCGCUUACAGAUAUUUUCCUCAGUCCCACAACAGGCUCUUAACUUCCAUCAGCCACAAAUUUCUAAACACUCGUCCUCAGGGAAGCACCAAACUAUCUCAAUAUGAAGCUCAUUCUAGUUGUCUUUACUGUCUCCGUGAGAACCACCCCAGUAUAUCUAGGCUGCACCUUCCACCCCUUAAAGCUAAAUCCAGCAGAAUGUUUCAGUAAUGGCAAUCUAUAUACUUUGGGAGAAACUUGGAUGCAUGACUGCAACCUCUGUACAUGUAAUAAGGACAACGUGAUUUGCUGCCCCAAAUACUCUGCACCCUCGAGUUUUGAUGAAGAAAUGUGUGAGCCUAUUUUUAACACUAUGACCUGCACUUUCAAAGUUGUGAAGAAAAACGACCAUUCUAAAAACUGUCCAUUCGAAUCUAACGUUACCCUGGAAGGCAGCUACCCAACUGAAGUAGAAUAUGGAGAGAUGGAUGCUGGGCAGCAUGGAGAGGUGGCUAGAGCACGGGCCUGGGAGUCAGAAGGUCAUGGGUUCUAAUCCCGUCUCCAACACUCGUCUGCUGCGUGACCUGGGGCAAGUCGCUUCACUUCUCUAUGCCUCAGUCACCAUAU
rnacentral:lncRNA from 1 species